rnacentral:sRNA from 1 species
AAUAGUGGAACGCAGGCUAGGUUCGCCACGUCCUGUGGCAACGCCUGCAUGACCUACAUCCUGUAGG